rnacentral:sRNA from 1 species
AUGUAUCUGUGUAGGAGAAAUGAAAUGAAUAUGUGUAUCUAUGCCGCCAGCUGUCACGAUAAGCCCUUCGCCCGCCAUAGCCUCAGUUGAAGCACCUAUUAUCAUUCCCGGUGUCACUCCAUCCAUGAUAUGUGGAUUUCCGGCUUUUCCUAUGCCCGAAAUCUUACCGUUCUUUAUUCCGAUAUCAGCUUUAUAAAUUCCGGUAUAGUCUAUAAUCAAUGCGCUCGUGAUUACCAGAUCAAGACAUUCCUCAUCAGUAUGUGUCGAUGACUGUCCCAUCCCGUCUCU